GUAAAUGCUACGAAGAGGAAUAUUAGAUAAGAACCGGCUUCAGAGAGCUGUCGUAUGGUGCAAGACAGUGGAAGGAACUUAUUGAACUCGCCUUGGAGCUGCUACCCGAAAUAUUACGAUAGAGUAGACGUAGACGGAGGCCGACCGUUAAAGCGGACAGAAUAUAAUACACAUAUUGUUUACAGAUGUGUACGUAUUCAGUGAGAGCGUAGUGAAAGCUACGAAUAAGAGUGGUAUCGCGUGAGAUUAUAUCUUUCGUCUCUUAG
rnacentral:ncRNA from 1 species